CCCUUAGAUGUCCUGGGCCGCACGCGCGCUACACUGACAUGUUCAACAAGCCUCCUAGUUCGACAGGAUUUGGGAAAUCUUUGAACGCAUGUCGUGAUAGGGAUAGAUCAUUGCAAUUAUUGAUCUUGAACGAGGAAUUCCUAGUAAACGCGAGUCAUCAGCUCGCAUUGAUUACGUCCCUGCCCUUUGUACACACCGCCCGUCGCACCUACCGAUUGAAUGUUUCGGUGAAGAUUCCGGAUAGGACUUUUUUGAUUUAUUUCAAUUUUGUCUUAAAAGCUAUCUAAACCUCAACAUUUAGAGGAGGGUGAAGUCGUAACA
rnacentral:rRNA from 1 species